UGGUUGUCUCUGUGAGAACCCCUGAGUUGCUUCUGAACAGCUCUCCCACAGAGGCUUCCAUCAGUCGUGAAACCCCCUGAAACCAAUGCCCUCACCGUGAUACUCAAUUGGGCCUAAACGCAAUGAUGACAUACGGGCAAGGUAUCUAAUGGCGUACUAGGCAGAAGUAUUCUUAAGGAACUGCAAGACGAUUGGGCACACACUUUCUGUAGCAAUUUAAGGUGGAUGAUGUUCAUCUGAAGGGCACGUGAGCGUGCGAGCAGCAGUAGGGUGCCAUGGCCCGGUGGCUGAUGCAGGAGGGCCCCCAAGUGGCCGCAUCUCGCUGGCGACGACGCGCCCUUGCCUGUCGCCAUGACCAGCUCCGCCGGAAUCCACCCCGUCCCCGCAUCCACCACAUGCCCGUUCUCCUGGUUGCCCAAGAAGACUCCUCUGCGAAGGUCCGUACAGCAUUCGGAUCCAAUAGGGGUGGGACUCACCAUGGAAGCUGUCAGGAAGUUGCUGGGCCGGAGUGCAUCAUGCCCGGCCAAUAGGCGCCUCUGCGGCUAAUGGGAAUCAUGAUACAGAUCCAUCUGUUAUUGUUCAACUAUUAGUUGUUGAAUUGUGGGAUGAUGCCUGCUGUUAUGUCGGCUGCUCAGCUGAUUGUUUGCUACCCGGUAUGAGACUGCACUAUGGAACCCAUUUUUCUGUCCACAAUAGAUAGUCAUGAUUAUUCAGGAAAUUUUAAAGAUAGGGA